rnacentral:rRNA from 1 species
CAACGAGCGAGACCCACGCCCACAGUUGCCAGCKURUYCUCCGGAAUGANGGGUACACUGUKGGGACCGCCUCUGCUAAAGAGGAGGAAGGAAUGGGCAACGGUAGGUCAGSAUGCCCCGAAUAUYCCGGGCUACACGCGRGCUACAAUGGKUGGUACAAUGGGUAUCUACCCCGAAAGGGGAUGGCAAUCUCCUAAACCCAWCCUUAGUUCGGAUUGAGGGCUGCAACUCGCCCUCAUGAAGCUGGAAUCCGUAGUAAUCGUGUUUCAACAUGCRCGGUAAUAAGGCCCU